CCUGUCCUUGAAGAGGACUGUGGAAUUCCAGGCUCAUUCUCUUCCUUUCUCUUCUAGGCUGCUAUGAUGUGAUCACCAUGUACCUUUCGCAAGCCCCAAACCAACAGGGGAUUAAUGGGUCAUAAGCUGAACUCCUCAAAACUGUGAGUCACCAUCCAGCAUCCUUCUUUACGACGUCAUUAUCAAAGGUGCUUUGCCACAGCACAAGAAAGCUGACUAACAUGAUGCAGUAGAAGUGGAAAUGGCCACAUAAUAACAGCUGGCAAACUUCAGCCGAGCCUUUGAACAGAGCUUUCACUGUGUCUCUCUGAAGACAAGAAUUGGAAGUCGAAGGGGAAUACAGUCCACAUCUCCGACCUCUUGAACAGUGCAUUUAUUCAUCAGUCCCAUGAGAGAACCUGAAAGUCCAAGAAUAAAGAUGAAGACAAAUGCACCAAAAAGGAAAAUAAAAGAAAUACUAAAAGCUCAGUCAGCAUCAUUUUCCCUGGGGACCAUAAGCUGCCAAGAAGCCCCGAGAGGAAGAGAGACUUCCGAUAUGAGCAGAUUACAGUCGACACUGGAAAGCCAUCUGACAAAGGGGAAGGCACCACAGAGACAGAGCUAUGUAAUUGGUUGUCAAUAUAUGUAUUUCAAAAUACAGUCUCCAGGUAUCCAACUUCCCAAGGAGAUAAAAAAGAAUCUUUCAGUGUGAAGGCUUGUUACAUCUCAAAGAAAGCAUGCUGGUACUUUGCAAGGACAGAGCAAGAAGGCAACAAUCCAGAGAGCUGUACAACAUAGGAUUUCUCUGACACCUUGUCCUGUCACAGCUCGGGGGGGCUUUAGAUUUUUGUCUUCUGUCUCUUCCUCUUUUGCAGCUUCCCAGG
rnacentral:lncRNA from 1 species